UUUUUUUUUUUUUUUUUCAUCUUCAAUUGUUAUCAUCACUUGUUGUUUAGUUGGAUGUUCCUUCAAUUGGAUUCCGUUCCUUACAGUUGGACAGAAGUACUAAAGUUUUGCUUUACCAGGUGAAAAUAACACCGUUACUUCUCUUAAUGCUUUUUGAAUGAGUAUUACCGGUGAUUCAUUUGCUUAUUUGCUUAACAUUUAAAUCAUUUGGAUUACUUUUUGAGAAUG
rnacentral:misc_RNA from 1 species